rnacentral:rRNA from 1 species
AAUAACGCCGCGAAAGCGGCGCUAAUACCGCAUACGCUCUACGGAGGAAAGCAGGGGAUAGCAAGACCUUGUGCUAAGGGAGCGGCCGAUGUCCGAUUAGGUUGUUGGUGGGGUAAUGGCUUACCAAGCCUGCGAUCGGUAGCUGGUCUGAGAGGAUGAUCAGCCACACUGGGACUGAGACACGGCCCAGACUCCUACGGGAGGCAGCAGUGGGGAAUCUUGCGCAAUGGGCGAAAGCCUGACGCAGCCAUGCCGCGUGAAUGAUGAAGGUCUUAGGAUUGUAAAAUUCUUUCAGCGGGGAAGAUAAUGACGGUACCCGCAGAAGAAGCCCCGGCUAACUUCGUGCCAGCAGCCGCGGUAAUAACCUAAAUAGCUAGCUGU